rnacentral:pre_miRNA from 1 species
GAGGAGGAGGUGGUUAAGACUUGCAGUGAUGUUUAGGAAAGUUAUCACAUGAACAUCACUUUAAGUCUGUGCUACCUUCU